GUGAUAUAGAAAAUCUCUUUUCUAGUCUCUAUAUACACCCUUUUGUCAACUUAUACCUUUGUUGCUUCCACUGGACAGAUGGAUACGCCCAGUUGCGCGUCCAUCCUCUGGCCUCUUCACGGAGGACGGGGAGUGCUAGUGGAAAGAAUACAAUUAAAACUUUGUCUUAGAAAACUUGUCUGACAAUAUAUUUUUUAAUAAAAUA
rnacentral:misc_RNA from 1 species